CUGACGUAUACAGCUUCGGAGUGAUACUGUGAGAGGUCGCUACGGAGAAGAUUCCUUGGGAUAAUCUCGACGCGAUACAGGUAAUUGGUGCUGUGGGGUCAUGAACCAAAAACUGGAGAUUCCAAAAGAUGUGGAUCCUCAGUUGGCUUCUAUAAUUGAGAGCUGUUGGCAUAGAUAAAAUGGCAUUAAACCAGUGAUUCAGCACGCCACCCGACCCGACGUUCCAAGAGCUACUGACAAGGCUCAGGGCGCUCUAGAGGGGAUUUUAGAGACAAGCAGCGAGCUCCGCUGCCUGUGAAUGCAGAUUCACCUCAGCAUUUUGUUUUUGUGAUUUUGGGGUUCUCUCUGCUUCAUUGCGCAUCACUGCCCGCUGAAGUAUCCGUUUUUGGGAGAUAUCCAGCUGAAGCACCAUUGUCCCAAAAAUUCUUUCAAAGUUGGUCAUUGAUGUUCUGCGAUUGGGAAUUUAUGUCUCUUGGAUCGCGUCACAUUUGAUGUUGUAUUGGUGAGUAUUUGUCGGGACCACUUGGUUAAAAAAAAAAAAAGUUGUACAGAGAAAGAAAAGAAAAUGUAGCAGACGAUCUUAAUAUAAGGUUAUGAAGUGGUGAAGUCCUGAGGGUGAGAACAGCCUAGUUAGUU